AACCCGACAGAAUCUUCAUCCGCGUGUCCAUUCUGACAGGAUGUACAGUAGUAUAUGACCUGGGGUUAUUUCCACUGUCAUUUUAUAGAAGGUAAAAUACGCUGGAAUCUUCCCAGACCGGAGAAUGUGCAAGUCUGGAAAAGUUACCGACGUGACAGCUUUCCGGUUAGUGAUGACUAAUAAAAAAAAAAAAUCCACUCAGUCUGAACAGUGUUUAAGUUCAAGCCGGGGGGCUCUAAUUAAACGCUGACACUUGGAACGACAGGAGGAGCACAACGUGGACUUCGUACAGCAUGGUUCUUUAGGACUUCGGACGGCUCCAAGUCGUUGACCUGCAGGAGUGAACUGUAGUGACGACUCGCACGCACGCGCACGCAGCUGUGGACAGCGGACAAACAUCAAACCCUGACGGUUUACCAGGCUUCACCGAUCCCGUACCGUGCUCGUCGUCGGUGUGAGCGACGUGGAUCGCGCGCUCGUCCAGGCUGAAGUAGAGGAAAUGGAGGCCUCGGCGUCGGUGUAAAGGGGAUUCCAUCGACCCCUUCGACUCUCAAGACUCAUCCCUGGAUCCUGACUUGCCUUCUUCACUCCCGACGAAUAGUCUGGGUUUGAGGGCUUAAAUAAAUGAUUCUUUUUAUUGAAUUAACAUUUGAAAAGAGGAGCGGUUGAUCACGUUUGUCCACUCAAGAAAGGAUUUUUAAUUUCAAAGUUGCUCUGAUGUCCACUUUGUCCUCUUACGCUCGGCGUGAUGACCUCAACAAUAUUAGACGUUAAGUCCUAUGAGAUCACGUCACCGGCCCCCCACAUGCUCCAAAUUCACCCUAACGGAAAUUUGAAGAAUAUAUUGGCGAAUAUAUUCACCGCUUAUCAAAUCUAGGCAAACAAUAUGAUUGAAAAGUAAACUAUACAUUUAAAAUAAUAAUAAUAAUAAUAAUAAUAAUAAUAAUACUAAUAAUAAUAAUUUAAAGAAUGUCCUUGUUGGUGUUAAUCUGACAUUGAUCCUGUCCUCUAGGUCCUCUUCUGUUUCAGUUAACUGGUGCCUUCUUUAAAAAAAAAUUAUAUUUAUUUAUUUAUUUUAAAUCAUACCACUGUUCUACCGCUCUUCUUUCUGAAUCUUUCUCUCUUUCUUAUCUCCUCCAUACAUCCUCCCACCUGCCUCCCUCUAUCUCCCUCCCGUCGCUCUUCCUGCCUUUCCGCGCGUGCUGAUUGUCGCGCUUUUCAUUCUUCGUCCUCUGUAUUGGCUUUUGUUUUGGGAACAAAGGGCGCGUAAUGUCCUCAUCUUUUCCAUCUGUCACUCAGUCGGGGGGAAUGACUGAGAGGCGGAAGAUGACGAGAGACAGGGAGAGAGUGAGGAGGAAGGAUGCGGCCGUUUGAUUUCGGGAGCACUGCUUCAUUUCCCCUCAGCUCUCUGUGCGACUGCUCCGUAGACACAGACACGGCGAGGGAUCGGAGCUCCGGCGAGCUUCCUCCUGGAAAUUUACCACAGUGCUGCUGUGCUUCCAAAAAGCCUGUAGUUAACGACAGACCACAUGUCCUGCCUGGAACCGUACUCUGUUGUCAUAUUUGGCACCACGCAGCAUGAGAACUAGGAUAUGAAGUCGGACGAUUUCCUGCGCAGCGGCAUGUACAUGUAUGUGUUUGCGAUUGCGAGCGUUAAUUACGAACAGUGUCUAAUUAUGCUUUCAAUCUCACUACAGUCCUGCUCCACAUGCUCCAAACCAAAACAGUAGUGGGAAAUCUUCGAGCAGCAGGACAGAAAUGAUCUCUGACGGUCAUGAGCGGCC
ensembl:lncRNA